UUUCUUUCCUCCUCCCUUUCUCUCCCUCACCCUCUUAGCUCGAUCGACUCCUCAUCUCCUGCGCUCCCCGCCGUCAUCUGCCACUCUCCCCUUCGCCGUAAAACCGCACUAGAGUGGCAUAGCUCGGUUGGCCACCCAAGCAGAUGGAGUUAUUUGAAAGGUGCUACAAAAAAAAGGAGGAUGGUGGCUAGAGCGGCCUAGGGCGCUAUUUUAGUUUUAAUGCAUGUUCGUGGUUGCACAAGAUUCGGAGCAAGAUACAAUGUGGGGUAGGUCAUGAAGAUGUUCAUGAAGUGAUCUGAAAUCAACAAGAGAAAAUCGAUGU